ensembl:lncRNA
GUAGGAGUGUAUACUUACCCCGGACUUGUGAGCAUCAGCCUGGGAUGUUUCCAGCGCGGCUCUCCGCUCCCUCGACUGGGCCUGCUUCGGAUCUGCUUCCCCUUGGCCUCCAGCUCGAGAUGCACCGAGUGCAGCUCAAACGCGUCCUCACCUGCACUCAACGGUAGACACAACUCUGCCAUUUAAUGCAAGAAACAGACACCGUAGCCACCAGAUCCAGUCUGUAUCCAGAUCAGAUGGUCACUGCAGAACUGGACCCCCGACUGAGCCUGGUUUCUCCCAAGGCCCUGCUCAUGGCGGCUCUCCAAGACCAAAUAAAGCCAUUGUGGAGGGAAGUGGACAUGUGUCCGGAUGACCGGCCGGUGGCACAAAGGCCCCCUGCUCCAGUGCUGUCCUCAUGAUGCCUGGCCACCUUUAUGUGCCCUUUGCUACAAGGAGGAAACAUCUUUCAUCUCCUUUUCAAGGUGGAAAACACUGCCACCCUUACAAUGGCGGUGGGGAUUCAGCGUGUGCCAGGACACGUCAAAGUGUCAGCGUGUGAUGCUGCUUCGUCACGGAGAGCGUGGGAUGAGUCUCAACACAAGCCUCACACAUGCACAGAGAUGUCAUUCAUCUGCAUGUCAUCUUAAAAGAGACUUUAUCAUGAAGAAUUGAUUGCGAUUAACAAAAUCAGGCUAUUAUAACAAAAAGGAAG